UACGUAGGGUGCGAGCGUUGUCCGGAAUUAUUGGGCGUAAAGAGCUCGUAGGCGGUCUGUCGCGUCGGAUGUGAAAACUCGGGGCUCAACCCCGGGCCUGCAUUCGAUACGGGCAGACUAGAGUACGGCAGGGGAGACUGGAAUUCCUGGUGUAGCGGUGAAAUGCGCAGAUAUCAGGAGGAACACCGGUGGCGAAGGCGGCGACCUGGUCCUUGACUGACGCUGAGGCGCGAAAGCGUGGGGAGCAAACAGG
rnacentral:rRNA from 1 species